CUAGCAUGUAUAAUCGGCCCGAGCUCGGCUGCCCUGCGGCAGGUGCGGCUCAGACUCGGCAUCGGCGUGUGUUAACCGAGCCGAUUGUGCCCCGCAGCUCGCUCUGGCACAUUCAUUUUUGUUCUGGCUGUAAGCACUGGGCCGAUUCAUGUUCACCGUAACUGGUAACCCAGCUCUGGCUGUAUGAUCUGGACCACUUUUGGAAAUGACUCGGCUUAUGUUAAAUCAAGGAUGGUUUUAAUGGAUGCCAUUCAAUGUAGGCGACUUUCUUUAACACAAAUGUAGAUUUUUAACUCCAACCGUUUUAGUCUGUCCAUAACAAAAGACAGUAAAAAACAAAACAUGCACAGACAAAUCCAAAUUAAACCCUGCUGCUCGUUGAUGUCCUAAGACACGAAACGAUCGGUUUCUGUGAGAAACCGAACUGUAUUAUAUAAUUUAUACCUCUAAUACGGCGCCUUCUUCUUCUUUUGAGUUUUAAUGGCGGGUUGCGAAGCAACGUCAUAGUUGCAUACUGCCAUCUACUGUAUCGGAUGCACGGCUUGAGGGCUAUACAGGGACACCCGAAACCGUAGGUGGCGGUAUGCACCUAUGAAGUUGCUUCGCAACCCGCCAUUAAAACUAAAGAAGAAGGUGCUGUGCACGGGCUCAUUUGACUACGCAUAGUACUGUAUUAGAGGUAAAAAAAAUUAUAUAAAUACUGUUCGGCUUCUCGCACAAACCGAUCGUUUCGUUUCUUAGGAUAUCAAUGUGUCGUCACGAGCGGCAGGGUUUAAUUUGGAUUUGUCUGUGCAUGUUUUUACUGUCUGAGAUUUUGUUACUAUUCACAUGCAUACAGACUGAAACGGUUGGAGUUUCUACAUUUGUGUUGUACUGAAGAAACAAAAUCACAUACAUCUUGGAUGACCUCGGGGUAAGCUGAUAAAUAUAAAAAAUUCAUUUUAAGAUGAAUCCCGUACGUUGGCGGCUGUUUUAAACUGGGUGCUCGGCUCAGACCCUUUUGCCAGUAUGAAGCCGAUUUCAACGGUAACUGCAGAAAGCGUCAGCACGCUCAGCUCAUCACUGGAGUAACGUCUGUACAACGGGUGAGAUAAAACUCAACGCCUGACUGAAUCAUCCAUUCCCUUUUCGAUUCUACGCCAUACGUUAAACUUGAGGUAAUCUUGCUUUUGCUGUUCUAAAAUAAACACUGCUCUUAGGUAAGAAUGGCUGAUCAAAUGCAUUAUUUUAAAUCUAAUCUGAGACACAAAGCAGUUAAAUCGUUGUCUAAUUUUCUGCAAGGUAUUAAGAACGACAGUAAGCUUGUUGACGAUGAUCUGACUGAUGACUGAUAUGUGUGAUGAGAUUAAAACUAGGGCUGUGCAAAAAAAUCGAUACAGCUAACUACCGUGAUAGUUAGCUGUAUCGAUAGUGUAUCGAUAUUUCGAUCUCUACUGUCGAUAUUUUAAAAACCAUCAAAUCCCUCUGUGUGCGUCAAAUGACCUCCUCACCGCUGCUGUAGUUGUCACUGUCCAGUUGUCUGCCAUAUACGGCCAUUCGGCCAAUGUCUCAGAAGUUAGAGGGAGUGAGAAAAUGGCAGAAAAUGUAAAAACAGCUCUAUUUUUUACAUUUUUGAUUGUAUUGUGAUACGUAUCGUAUCAUGACCCAUGUAUCGUGACACGUAUCGUAUUGGGAGGCCCUUGCCAAUACCCAGCCCUAAUUAAAACAACUUUUCUUUUAGCACACCACCCGUACAUGGCACACAAAACAGGUCUUGUGAGGGGGCUGUGCCCACACGUAGAAAUUCUGUAGGUCCACGGGCUUCUCCCCUUUCAGCGAACAUCACAGCGCUUAGUCCACCAUCGUGGUCUCCAAUCUCCAUUACCAACAGCCUGAGUGCUACACCUACAGACACCCCAACCCAUGCAGCAGCUGGCAGAAGUCAGACAUCAGGCCAAACUGGAUUUCAACACACCCCACCCUUACAUGGCACACAAGUAUAUGACACACAACACAGGUCUUCUCAGGAGGCUGUGCCUACAGGUAGGAAUUAUACAAAGUGAUCUCUCUCGGUUUACUCUGACAUAUCUACGUACAAUGUUUUGCUAGUAAUCUGCUAUGCCUGCUUUUUCUUGUGUUCUACAGCAAUAGGCUUUACGCCCAGCUGCACUACUUCCUGAACUUCAGCCAGCUCCUUGUUUCCUGUCUGCCAUUAUUGGACAAACUGAUUAAUCCAGGUGUGCCUCAGCUUAGUAGUCACAACAACAAUAAUCAGACACACCUGGAUUUAUCAGUUUGUCCAGUAAUGGCAGACAGGAAACAAGGAGCUGGCUGAAAUUCAGGAAGUAGUGCAGCUGGGCAUAAAGCCUAUUGCUAAGGAGAUCCUCAUCCAGCUCGAUUUUAUUAGAGAGCAGCAGUUGCAGACUUCACCCCAGACCCAACACAUUUUGGGCUCCCACUUUCAACUAUUGAGGAGCUACAAUGUUUGUAGGAGACAUUAAAUAAUCCAGAUGAGAAGAAGAAUUUGGUGAGACUGUUUUUCCUGGAAUGGUCGGAGACAAGACUCUUAAAGACACCGUGGGGUGGGUCCUGAAAAAAACAAUAAACUCUUCGUGGCGAGACUCAUCAAUUGAAGUGGGGUCAACUGAAGCCUGCAUUCAAAGGGCUCACUUUGAAAAGUGUGGUUUUGGAUGCAGUCCGCCGGAAUGCCCUGACCAAAGAUAACACAGAAAAGGAGAUAGAGCUCCUCAUCACCAGGUGGUCGGUGCUAGCAUAUGACAGGGAUGGUGGCCGAAUCCAGACAAUAGACAGACAAUGAAUUAAAAUGUUUUAAAUUUAAAAAUGUUGAUUUUUGGAAAAUUCGUAUUUGAACUGAUUGUGUGUGUGUGUGUGUGUGUGCACCUGGUAAUUAUCACGUUGUGUCCCCACAAAGAUAGGAAUACUAGUAUUUUUGUGACCUUGUGUCCCCAUGAGGAAACAAGCUUAUAAAUCAAACAAAAUGAUGUUUCUUGUAAAUGUGAAGUAGGAGAAGGGUUUCUGUGAUGGUUGGGUUUAGGGAAUGGGGUAGGUAAGGGGAAUAAAAUAUACAGUUUGUAUGGUAUAAAAUGCAUUACGUCUAUGGAAUGUCCCCACAAAACAUGGAAACCUGUUUGUGUGUACGAGAGAGAGAGAAUGUGUGUUCAAGUGAAUAAAAAAUGCAUUAAACGUGAAAUCCUU